rnacentral:tRNA from 1 species
GGAGAUGUAGCUUAGUAAUGGAGCAUUUGCCUGGUAUGCAGAAGGCCAUGAGUUCAAUCCCCAGUACCACUA